GAUGAACGCUGGCGGCGUGCCUAAUACAUGCAAGUCGAGCGAACAGACGAGGAGCUUGCUCCUCUGACGUUAGCGGCGGACGGGUGAGUAACACGUGGAUAACCUACCUAUAAGACUGGGAUAACUUCGGGAAACCGGAGCUAAUACCGGAUAAUAUAUUGAACCGCAUGGUUCAAUAGUGAAAGACGGUUUUGCUGUCACUUAUAGAUGGAUCCGCGCCGCAUUAGCUAGUUGGUAAGGUAACGGCUUACCAAGGCAACGAUGCGUAGCCGACCUGAGAGGGUGAUCGGCCACACUGGAACUGAGACACGGUCUAGACUCCUACGGGAGGCAGCAGUAGGGAAUCUUCCGCAAUGGGCGAAAGCCUGACGGAGCAACGCCGCGUGAGUGAUGAAGGUCUUCGGAUCGUAAAACUCUGUUAUUAGGGAAGAACAAAUGUGUAAGUAACUAUGCACGUCUUGACGGUACCUAAUCAGAAAGCCACGGCUAACUACGU
rnacentral:rRNA from 1 species